rnacentral:lncRNA from 1 species
CUCAAGUGAUCCUCCUGCCUCGGCCUCCCAGAGAACUGGGAUUACAGGUGUGAGCCACUGCACCCAGCUGCAAGCCUGCAUUUCUAACAAGCUCCCUGAUGUUGCCAGGCUGCUGGUCUGCAAGUCCAGGGACCAUACUUGGAGUAGCAAGCCCCCAGGGAAGGACAGACUUUAAUAAGAAGAGGAUCCCCUAUGAAAAUUCCAACUUGAGCUCCUAUGUUCAUUCAGACAUUCAUACAAAUACCAACUGUGGGCCAAACACUGAAGAUUUCCAGUGCCUAUCCCAGAAAUCUGCACUCCUGUUCCUGCCAAACUCCUGCUCUGCGUCAUCAGAAAUGAAACUCCACUUUAAUCUUCUGGAAGGAAGACAGUGGGAAAGACAU